AAUUAUUACAACAAGAUAUUCAAGUUUACUUCGUGAAGCAGAUCAAACAUAUCAGAUCAAAGAAUUGGAACCAGAUGAGGCCCUUCAGCUUUUCAGCUGGCAUGCCUUUAAGGACACCAGCUGGCAUGCCUUUAAGGACACCAAGCCAGCAGAAGAUUAUAUUGAGCUUUCAAAGAAAGCAGUUGAUUACUGUGGAGGACUUCCUUUAGCUCUUGAGGUUAUAGGAGCUCUUCUGUACGGGAAAGAAAAACAUAGAUGGGAAAGUGAAAUUGAC
rnacentral:lncRNA from 1 species